GUGAGAUUUCCCCCAGUAGUUUGUGUCUCUGCCCCUCCCACAAUGGUGAGAUUUCCCCUACAGAUUUGUGUCUCUGCUUCUCCCACAAUGGUAAGAUUUUCCCCAGUAGUUUGUGUCUCUGCCCCUCCCACAAUGGUGAGAUUUCCCCGCAGUAGAUUGUGUCUCUGCC